CAGUAGCCGCGGUAAUACGGAGGGUGCAAGCGUUAAUCGGAAUUACUGGGCGUAAAGCGUGCGUAGGUGGUGGUUUAAGUCCGUUGUGAAAGCCCUGGGCUCAACCUGGGAAUUGCAGUGGAUACUGGGUCACUAGAGUGUGGUAGAGGAUAGUGGAAUUUCCGGUGUAGCAGUGAAAUGCGUAGAGAUCGGAAGGAACAUCUGUGGCGAAGGCGACUAUCUGGGCCAACACUGACACUGAGGCACGAAAGCGUGGGGAGCAAACAGGAUUAGAUACCCCCGUAGUCCCUGUCUCUUAUAC
rnacentral:rRNA from 1 species